rnacentral:rRNA from 1 species
GCGACGUGCUACACUGACAGUCGACGGAGAGUUAUAAGGAAGCUUGUGAAUUCUUGACUUAGUGGCGCACGGGUGAGUAACGCGUGGAUAACCUGCCUGGAAGGCCGGGAUAACAGCUGGAAACGGCUGCUAAUACCGGAUACGCUUAAUGGAACGCAUGUUCUUUUAGGGAAAGCAAGCCUGCUAUCAUAUGGAUCCGCGUCCCAUUAGCUAGUUGGUGGUGUAAGGGACAACCAAGGCGACGAUGGGUAGCCGGCCUGACAGGGCUGACCGGCCACACUGGGACUGUAGCUCGGCCCACACUCCUACGGGAGGCAUCACUGGGGAAUCUUCCGCAAUGGGCGAACGCCUGACGGAGCAGCGCCACGAGAGGGAAUAAUGCCUUCGGGUUGUAGACCUCUGUCAUCAAGGAAGAACAGAUGACCGUACUUGAAUAGCAAGCCCCGGCUGACUACGUGCCCGCUCCUCGGUAGAACUUACGGGGCGAGCGUUAUCCGGAAUUACUGGGCGUAAGGGCGCGUAGGUGGUCUAUUAAGUCAAAGGUGAAAGAUCGUGGCUCAAUCGCGAGAUUACCACUGAUAGUGGUGGACUUGAUUGCCGGAUAGGGUAGCGGAAUUCCCCAUGUACCGCUGAAAGGCCUAGAUCUUGUCAGGAACACUAAUGGCCAAUGUUGCUCUCUGGAUCUGCACUGAACUGAUGUCGAAACACGACGAGCUGCAGGAUAGAUACCCGGGUAUCUACGCCUCAACGAUAAUGCUGGAGUUCAGGUAUCUACCCCUGUAUGUCCAAUUCUA